rnacentral:rRNA from 1 species
CCCUUAGAUGUUCUGGGCCGCACGCGCGCUACACUGAUGCAUUCAACGAGCCUAUCCUUGACCGACAGGUCCGGGUAAUCUUUGAAUCUGCAUCGUGACGGGGAUAGAUUAUUGCAAUUAUUAAUCUUCAACGAGGAAUGCCUAGUAGGCGCAAGUCAUCAGCUUGCGUCGAUUACGUCCCUGCCCUUUGUACACACCGCCCGUCGCGCCUACCGAUUGGGUGUGCUGGUGAAAUGUUCGGAUCGGCCGUUUGUCGCGGUUUCCGCGUCAUGUGGCUGAGAAGUUCAUUAAACCCUCCCACCUAGAGGAAGGAGAAGUCGUAACA